rnacentral:rRNA from 1 species
GGCCAGACUCCUACGGGAGGCAGCAGUGGGGAAUAUUGCACAAUGGGGGAAACCCUGAUGCAGCGACGCCGCGUGAGUGAAGAAGUAUUUCGGUAUGUAAAGCUCUAUCAGCAGGGAAGAUAAUGACGGUACCUGACUAAGAAGCCCCGGCUAACUACGUGCCAGCAGCCGCGGUAAUACGUAGGGGGCAAGCGUUAUCCGGAUUUACUGGGUGUAAAGGGAGCGUAGGUGGCAGGGCAAGUCAGAUGUGAAAACCCGGGGCUCAACCCCGGGAGUGCAUUUGAAACUGUCCAGCUGGAGUGCAGAAGAGGUAAGCGGAAUUCCUAGUGUAGCGGUGAAAUGCGUAGAUAUUAGGAGGAACACCAGUGGCGAAGGCGGCUUACUGGACAGUAACUGACGUUGAGGCUCGAAAGCGUGGGGAGCAAACAGGAUUAGAUACCCCAGUA